rnacentral:rRNA from 1 species
UUACGUGCUCGGUCCGUCCCCGACCGAGCGAACGCAUCGGAGAGUCGGGCCGCUUGAGAGUGCAGCCCGAAUGGGGUGGAUAGGUCUCAUCCAAGGCUAAGUACGUGGGAGACGCCGAUAGCGAACAAGUACGGCGACGGAAAGGUGAAAAGAACCUCGAAAGGGGGGUCAAAAGCGCUCGAAAUCGUAGAGGGGGAAGCGGACCUGACCGACGAGACCUCGUCGUCGCUCGCGCUCGACCCACGCUUCGUCGCGGAGUUCCGGAGGGCUCGCCCCCCGGAGCCGCGGCGCGGCGGGGGUCGGGGAGGCGCUCGGCGGCGGGGCCGCUUGCGCGGGACCGGCGUCGCGCCGAACGAGAGGUCGCCUCGGCUCGCCCGAAAGGACGCGCCGGGGGGCCGCCCCGGAGGCGCGGCGUCGGCCCGAGGGAGAAGGAGAUCGC